rnacentral:ncRNA from 1 species
AGGGAAAGCCGGUGCGAAUCCGGCACUGACCCGCAACCGUGACCCGCCCCGGCCCAGCCCGGCGGCGGGAAGUCGGAACGCCC